ACCAUCUUAGCUCAGUGGUAGAGCGCGGUGGCUUUUUAACACGUGGUCGUUGGUUCGACCCCACAGGAUGGUG
rnacentral:tRNA from 1 species